UGUAGCUCAGAGGGUUGUUAGGGCAGUGAAAUUACUCUUUAUGAGGCUGUUACAUUGGAUGCAUUAUACACUUGUACAAACCCAUAGACUCUGCAACACCAGGAGUAAACCAUAAUGCACACUACAGACUUAUGGUGAUUAUGAUUUGUCAAUGUAAUUUCAUCAAUUGUAACAAAUGGAUCACUCUGGCGAUGGCUGUACCAUCCAUUCAGCUGAACAAGUCAGAUUCCUAGAAAUUGUCCUCGACAUGCCCAACCGAAGAGAAUCAACAUUGAUUCUUGUUGCAUCUCUCGAGCCAUCCAGAAGUGCUCAAAUCCAACAAGGUGAACAGUUCAGACGGGGUGAAGUCUUCCCUACCUCCUCCUACUUCUGCUGAAUGAGAAAGACAAUCUGUCUGUUUUGAAAAGCUGACAGGAAGUUGGAGCUGAGAAAAAUAUAUUCACUGCAUAUUUUAGCUGACACCAUUCAAAUUUACGACAUGAAGGCAUUCCUUGAUGUCUGUUACUAGGAACCUCCCGUUCAGCAAAAACAGAAAAUAAAAGCAGCCUACAGGA